GAUAAACGCUGGCGGUGUACAUAAGACAUGCAAGUCGAACGGGAGAAGACAGGAAGAUUUAUCUACUUGUUGGACACCGUGGCGGACGGGUGAGUAACACGUAAGCAACCUGCCUAUAAGAGGGGAAUAACAGUGAGAAAUUACUGAUAAUACCGCAUAAGCUGGAGGUAUCGCAUGAUACAUUCAGAAAAGAUUUAUCGCUUAUAGAUGGGCUUGCGUCUGAUUAGCUAGUUGGUGAGAUAACAGCUCACCAAGGCGACGAUCAGUAGCCGGAUUGAGAGGUUGAACGGCCACAUUGGGACUGAGACACGGCCCAGACUCCUACGGGAGGCAGCAGUCGGGAAUAUUGCACAAUGGAGGAAACUCUGAUGCAGUGACACCGCGUAUAGGAAGAAGGUCUUAGGAUUGUAAGCUAUUGUCGUGUGAGAAGAAAAUGACCAUCACAGGAGGAA
rnacentral:rRNA from 1 species